UUCAUAGAUUUAGUUUCUAACCUUUCUGCUCUUAAAGAAGUCACUUUUUGCUAAUAUGACUCCUCUUUCUUUCUGCCGUGUUUCUCUACAAGAUCAAUUUCAUCCUGUUCAUCAGCAUCAUCCGCAUCCUAGUGCAGAAACUGCGCAGCUGUGAUGUCGGCGGAAACGAUCAAUCCCAAUACAAGCGUCUGGCUAAGUCCACACUCCUGCUGAUCCCUCUGUUUGGGGUGUAUUAUGUGGUGUUUUUCUACCUGAUGGAACCGGAAAAUGAAAACGUGAAGCAAGUGAAGAUCUUCUUCGACCUCGGCCUCGGAUCAUUCCAGGGUCUAAUUGUAGCUGUUCUCUACUGUUUCCUCAACAGUGAGGUUCAGAGUGAGCUGAGGAGGACAUGGAAGUGUUUU